rnacentral:rRNA from 1 species
CAAUAGCGUAUAUUAAAGUUGUUGCAGUUAAAAAGCUCGUAGUUGGAUUUCGGGAUGAGAAGCACGGUCGGCCGAGAGGCUUGUACCAGGCGUCUUGUUCUUCCUUCUGUAGCCGGCGUGUGGCAUUGAUUUGUUGCGCGUUUGAUGCAGGACGUUUACUUUGAAUAAAUUAGAGUGUUUAAAGCAGGCCUUUGCUUGAAUACAUUAGCAUGGAAUAAUAGAAUAGGACUUUGGUCUUAUUUUGUUGGUUUCUAGGACCGAAGUAAUGAUUAAUAGGGACAGUUGGGGGCAUUAAUAUUUAAUUGUCAGAGGUGAAAUUCUUGGAUUUAUGAAAGAUUAACUUCUGCGAAAGCAUUUGCCAAGGAUGUUUUCAUUAA